AACAAAACAUUCUCCAGCGGGAUCUCGGGAGACGUCUAACCAAGCACACAAGACAGCAGCACCUCAACCCGCCCAACAGCCACCUUCGCCUGCACGGAGCAUCUGGGCACGGCGCACAAACGUCUCGAGAAGCUGGGUCAGCUCUUUCCGAAUCAGGAUGCAGCUGGACAUCCCCACCAAGACACAAAAUUUGCAACGGCGACCGCCAGCAGAGAAGUGUGUUAAUCCCACUGUGUGAAGGUCCCACAGCCGUUCUAUCCACUCAUCCGCUGAGGGACACGUGGGCUUUCCUCCGGUC